UUCCUCAGGCCGGCCUGGCGUGUUGGGCCCCGCGGUGUCCAUGGUGACUGCAGCCGCCGGCCAGCGCUGGGUCUCGAGGUACGGGGCCAGCCCGCAUGUACGACCGGGCUCCGCGGGCGCUCACUCGGCCCGCGGGCGGCACCGAGGCGCAUGUGGGGCCCGGCUCUUACCAUCUGCAGCCCGGGAAACAGCAGAAAGCAGAUGGCUAUGCUCCAUUUCUUUCUUUGUCAACUCGAGACUCUGCAUUUACUAUUCCAAAUGCUGAGAUUGAUGUUCCAGGACCAGGACACUAUGAUAUUUCCAAAGUACAGAAUAAUAUAAAAGGUGGUAAGAGUCCGCAGAACAAAGAAAAACGUUUCAAAGAGAUCAGUACAGACACUCCAGGACCUGGAAGCUAUAACCAACCUCCUGCUGUGGGGUUAGAGGUUAAUAACAGGAAGCAGAAAGAGCCUAAAGAACAUAGUCAACUGAGGACUGCUGGCAGUAUAAAAGUCUACCGAAAAGUGGAUGGUCCCUCUAUCCCUUCUCCAGGCCAAGCAUUUGGGUAUGAAGAAGCUGAGGAUGGCACUCUUAUUAAACAAUACCCACCUCAAAGAGAUGUGACAUUGGGCCCAGCAUACUAUCAACCAGUAAUUAAUGGUACGUAUUCUGCCAUGAAGUAUAAAGGAGUACAUUUUGGUAAUCUAACAGGAAAACGUAGUGAAUUUAAGGUUCAAGCAGGGCCUGGACCUGGGGAGUAUGACAUAACUCAGGAAAGUGCACUGCAUUAUUGGAAUGUCAACAUCAAAAAGGAAGACAAGAAAAAAUAUGAACCCUAUGUCCCACGGUAUCAUGAAGUAAUAGUAUUACAGGAAGAAAAGAAGGGUGUUCCAGGACCUGGACAAUAUGAAAUAAAAAGUCAGUUUCAGAAGGUGGAGAAUAUAACACAAAAUGGAAAUGAAGUUCCACGUGCUCCUUUUCUUUCACAGUCCAAAAGAUUUGUACAUGUGAAAUCAAUCACCCCAGCUCCUGGUACAUAUAAUGAACCACGCUCAGCUCUUGAAUCCUUGAAGAAAACAUCAGGAAUGAAAAAGAUCCCAUUUGGUCAAACUACAGUUCGGUUCACUCAAGACUCCAGGCGAGAAAAAACACCAGGUCCAGCUUUCUAUAAUAUUCUCAACUAUAGUAUUGAAAGAGAGAAUUUUAAAAAAGCUUACUUGGAGAGUACAAAGAAAGGAGCAUUUGGAUCUUCAGCUCCUCGACCUCUAUAUGUUUUUAAGAGGGGAGCUUUCUGUACUCCUGGACCAGCUGAUUAUCAGGGCAAAAGGAGCACUGAAGAAUCACAUAAACAACAUAAGCAAUUAUCUGUUUUCUUGUCAUCAACAGAAAGAACUCCAGUAGUUGCCAUGGAAAUUCCACCACCAGGCUCCUACGAGGUUCAAAAAUCGUUUGAGAAAUCACAUAGUAAAAGCCACUAUAUGCCUCCCCGAACCACACUGGCUAAAAGAAAGCAUACCUCUUUUCUCAGUGCAACACCUAGAAAAAAUGUACCCAAUACUGACAAAGAUGUACCAGGACCUGGGACAUACAAUCCUGUAGUGAAGUCAGCUUCCAGUAUUUCCCUAUUUGUUUCCAGAGUGGAGCGUUUUAAGGAUGUGAAAGAGAUUACUCCCGGUCCAGGAGCUUAUGAGGAACUGGUUUCUUGCAGGCAGACCCUCACAUCUGCACAAAGUCCCAUUGAAGUCAGUGGAGCGUGGUCCAGCCACACGAUUGCAGGAGUGGGGCGAUACAUAUCUGACGGCAUAAAUAAGCAUUAUAACUUCCUGGUGAGCAAUGUGUAAGGGGAAGAAGAUUUGAGAAUCAGGUCACUGAAGGUGUAAGCAGAAGAGACCCUGUUGGAUCAUCAUCAACUACCUUUCCCUGCCAAUGCAGGAGACAGUCCCCUGAUCGAGGAUGCAGCAGGCACUACACUUGACCACAGCCAAUGUGCCACAUCUGGAUAGCCAUAGGUACGAAGAAUCUCAUCUACCUACACAUAUUCGAUCAUUGAUAAAGAUACGGAAUGGCAUUGGACCCUGUGGCAUUGGACCGUGAGACCCUGUGACGGGGUGUAUCUAUCACAUACUGGCCCAGCAGGGGUUAAUUGCACACUGUGGGCUGAGAAGGCCACACUCCUCUGUCCCUGCUGGGCAUGCUCAACCUGGAGACAGGAUAUAAGAGGAAGCAGCUCCAUUCAGUUGGGCCAGACUGCUGAGGAGCAAGGAUGCGUAUUGAAGGUUCCCACACAGGAGCUGCCGGAGCCCUAGACCACAGAGGCCAGACAUGCUGAGCCCUGACAGAUCCCCAGCUGCCUGCGGAAGCCAGAGAGGGGAUUGAGCCUUCAGGAAUUUCGCUAGUCGACAACCCCAGAGGACCCAUGGAUUACUGCAUUGGAAGACAGGGUGACAGAAAACCCACAAACAUCAACAGUGGUAACAUUUUGUAACCAAGAACUCACUUUGAGAACAGGCUGCAGCUGUGUAUGAGAGAACGUUGAUCUAGAGCUCUAAGUUGAAAAGAGAGGAAGCUGUUGGCAAGGUGUCCUACAGAAGGCAUAUGUACUUCAGAAUUUCAUUGUCUGAAAUAGUCCAAGUUUUCUGAAUUUCAGGUCAGUGUGAAAAUCCCAUAUAUUUCAGCAGGUGUUUGAGGUAUGCUGGGUAUAGAGUUUUGAGAUGCUGAAUGUUUUUGGUGGGAUAUUGGACUCUCUUUGGGAUUGAGAACUUCUAGGGGCCCAGGAAGUGCUAUUGUAAAAUUAUCUGUUGCUGAUGAUCGGCUAUUUUGUUUUUGUUUGGAGUAGAGAUUGGUGUAUAGGGACCCAGUAAUCUGUACGCUGCUGCUAUUUUUGUUGUUGUUUUUACCGAGUGUGAUUUUAAUUAUCGUUCAGGCACCUUUGGGUAGGCAUCUUGUCUGUCUUUGUAUGUGUUCAAAAUAAAAUAAAUAAGUGCAUGUAAGUGGUCCCAGCUGGACACACAAUUGCCUGUUUUGUCCCUGACAUUAAGGAGCAUUUUUCUGAAAAUUUAGCCCACUGUCAACAGACAACAAAAGAAGAGUGCAGUGCGUAAUUAGCAGCAAUAGUAAAUGGGGUCUUAAUAAUAAAGGUGUACAAAAUGGUUUAGCUAAAAUAACAUAUAGCCCAAACUUUUAUCUGAUACUUGAUCUGAACCAUCUAGGCUUUUACAAAGAGUUCAGUUAAUUUUCAUAUUGUCUAUUUUCAUGUACAGUAUAGCUCUGUGUAUCCUGGUUUUGGUAAGGAUCAGAAGCAAACAUACAAACAUAAUUAGAGAUGUGCUCGAACCUCAAGAAUUGCAGUCAGAUGCAUAAUUUGAACACCUGAAAGUUUGCAAUAUGUACAGAUCAGAGCUGGACAACACUUUGACAGAUUAUUUUUUCCUUCAAAAAUUCAAUAUUCAGGGCCAAUAACUAUUUGUCAAGUUCAAUUAUUAGUUUCUCUUGAGGAAAAAUAAAUGCAAAAUUAUGGAAACAUUUCAUUUCAAAUGUUUUAAAACAUUUCAUUUUGAUUUCUUCAUUUCAAAACACUGUUUAGAGAAUGUCAAAAUGUUCCAUUUCAACUUUUUGAUUUCAAAUUUGACCAUUUUCAAAGAAAAAACACAAAAAAGGGAGAAAAAACACCCAAAAUGGCUGAAUUUAAAUGAAAAAAAAAUGUUUUGAGUCAAUUCAAAACAUUUUGGUCAAUUCAAUUCUUAUUCUUAUUAUUUUAUUUUAUUUAUUAUUUAGUUUUAGAGUUUAGACAUUUUUUGGUCUCUGAAUUGUUCCCCAAACUGAAAAUCCAAUUAUUUGCUGAGAUCUUGUACAGAUGUGGGAAUAUGUAUUGGGUCCAUCACUAAGGAAAAUGUGAAAAAACAUUCUUGUGCUUAUCUCAUAGCAUAAGGAGUACUGGGAUUCUUGCCAUGAAACCUGUUCUUGAGAGAUUUGCACCUCCAUCUCUAUGUUAAAGAG